CAAAGGUUUGGUCCCAGCCUUGUCAUCAACUAUGUCUGAACUUACACAUGCAAGCAUCCGCAUUCCCGUGAAAAUGCCCUUAAGCCCCCUAAAUUAGGGGAUAAGGAGCUGGUAUCAGGCACGACCAUCAGCCCAUGACACCUUGCUCUGCCACACCCACAAGGGAACUCAGCAGUGAUAAACAUUGAAUAUGAGCGACGUAAAGCUCGACUCAGCUACAGACAACAGAGUUGGUCAAUCUCGUGCCAGCCGCCGCGGUUAUACGAGAAACUCAAGUUGAUAAUUCACGGCGUAAAGCGUGAUUAAGGUCCAUCAACAUUAGAGUCAAACCCUAGCUAAGCUGUCGCACGCUUUCGCUAGACUGAAGAACACUCACGAAAGUAACUCUAUCUACCACACCUGAACUCACGACCGCUAGGAAACAAACUGGGAUUAGAUACCCCACUAUGCCUAGCCUUAAACUUUGACUAAUUACACUUCAUUCCGCCAGGGAACUACGAGCCCAAGCUUAAAACCCAAAGGACUUGGCGGUGCCCCAAACCCACCUAGAGGAGCCUGUUCUAUAAUCGAUACCCCCCGCUUAACCUCACCACUUCUUGCCAAACCCGCCUAUAUACCACCGUCGCCAGCCCACCCCGUGAGGGGGCCUUAGUAGGCUCAAUGAUUUCACAUCAACACGUCAGGUCAAGGUGUAGCAUAUGAAGUGGGAAGAAAUGGGCUACAUUUUCUAACACUAGAAAAAACGAAAGAUCUCUAUGAAACCAGAUCAGAAGGCGGAUUUAGCAGUAAAGAGAAACAAGAGAGUUCUCUUUAAAACGGCCCUGGGGCGCGCACACACCGCCCGUCACCCUCUUCUACCAACCACAUCUCAUUAAAUAAAAACUGAAACAAACAAAGAAGAGGCAAGUCGUAACAUGGUAAGCGCACCGGAAGGUGCGCUUGGAAU
rnacentral:ncRNA from 1 species